AUCGCUUCUCGGCCUUUUGGCUAAGAUCAAGUGUAAUUUGUCCAAGGGAAUGAAACUAAAAUGGAAAGGUGUUAUAUGUAUGCAGAUACCUGCAAGUGUUCCUAAAAUUCUGAUAUUUACGUUUUUUUUAUUUUGCAGUUUUUAAAAUUAUGUUCCGUUA
rnacentral:snRNA from 1 species